rnacentral:rRNA from 1 species
ACCCGCUGAACUUAAGCAUAUCAAUAAGCGGAGGAAAAGAAACCAACAGGGAUUGCCUUAGUAACUGCGAGUGAAGCGGCAAAAGCUCAAAUUUGAAAUCUGGUGCCUUCGGCGCCCGAGUUGUAAUUUGGAGAGACAUCUUCGGAGUAGACGCCGUCCUAAGUUCCUUGGAACAGGACGUCACAGAGGGUGAGAAUCCCGUGCCUGGAUGGCUGUUCUACUUCAUGUGAAGUGUCUUCGACGAGUCGAGUUGUUUGGGAAUGCAGCUCAAAAUGGGAGGUAAAUUUCUUCUAAAGCUAAAUAUUGGCGAGAGACCGAUAGCGCACAAGUAGAGUGAUCGAAAGAUGAAAAGCACUCUGAAAAGAGAGUUAAAAAGUACGUGAAAUUGUUGAAAGGGAAGCGCUUGAGACCAGACUCGACCAGUGGUGAUCAGCGGUGCUUCUGUGCCGUGCACUUGCCAUUGGUUGGGCCAGCAUCGGUUUGGACGGCGGGAUAAAGACCUAAGGAAUGUGGCUCCCUCCGGGGAGUGUUAUAGCCUUGAGUGCAAUGCCGCCAGUCUGGACCGAGGACCGCGCUCCGGCUAGGAUGCUGGCGUAAUGGUCUU